GCAGAAGGCUGCAGACCAUAUUAUUUUCUGGGAGGAUUUCAAGGAACGGAGAGUAAGGAUGGCGGAAGAAGGAGGCAAUGGAAAGGGAAGUGAGAAUUGGGUGGAGGAUCUUCAGCGCGCGGUCGUCCAAUCUAAGGACUCAGCCAUUCGCUCUGCUCGUUCCUUUCAACAAAAUUCUUCUUCCCAUCUUCGCUCCUUACAGGAUUAUGUGCCACAAGCAAUUUCUCAGUUCAAAACUUAUGAAGAUACCUUUUUCAACAGAAUUAAAGGGGAGUUGAUGAGUGCAAGGGAACACCCAGUUGAGGCUGUUGGGGUUGCUGUAACAGCUGGUCUCCUUCUUAUGCGAGGCCCUCGAAGGUUUCUGUUUCGUCAUACAUUUGGUCGACUUCAAAGUGAANNNNNAGCUGAAAAGAAUGUAAAAGAGUUGAACCUUUCUGUAGAUUUAAUGAAGAAGGAGAGCCGAAAAUUACUUGAAAGGGCAUCUCUGGCUGAGAAGGAUAUGAAACAUGGCCAUACUGAGCUCUUGGAUGCUGGAAGUCAAAUUCAAUGGCAUGCUAAAUCAGUUUACAAGGUUGAAACCCAAGUUGCAGAUUUGAUGGAUGGGCUACGAGAAAUCCCUGGAAGGGAGGCUUUGAAACUUCGAGCAGAGGUUGCUUCUAUGGCAUCACUUUUGAAGCAGCAUAGGACUGUGCUGGACAAACAGAUCAUGAAGAUUUCUGAACUAGGGGUUCCUGUUUGAUAGCAUAUAAGUGAUCCUUGAGGGCACCACUUGGGGUAUCUCUAUUUUCUUACUUUUAAUUAUUCAACACCAAAGCAUGCUCAUGAUGAGAGAACAUGAGAUUUUUCCUUUUCCAAAGUAACACUGGAAACAAUGAUUGUAGCUUCAAAUGGUGCAUUUUGUGAAAUUCAUUGGUUAAACUAAUUUAUUAACAAAAUAGAGAUACCCCAAGUGGUGCCCUC
rnacentral:misc_RNA from 1 species